UACAGAGGGUGCAAGCGUUGUUCGGAAUUAUUGGGCGUAAAGGGCGCGUAGGCGGUUCUGUAAGUCUGUAGUGAAAUCUCUGGGCUCAACUCAGAGUCUGCUAUAGAAACUGCAGUGCUGGAGUGUGGGAGAGGUGGGUGGAAUUCCACGUGUAGCAGUGAAAUGCGUAGAGAUGUGGAGGAACACCGAUGGCGAAGGCAGCUCGCUGGGACGGUACUGACGCUGAGACGCGAAAGCGUGGGGAGCGAACAGG
rnacentral:rRNA from 1 species